ensembl:lncRNA
CUCGCACGCGUGGCCCCAUUAUCUAUUCAUGUGUUGCCUGAUAAAGAUGUUGCUGCGACCUGAGGAGAGGGUGUGGUGUGUGUGCUACAGAAGCAGGGCAGGUGAAAAGCCAGCCAAUGAAAAACGUGCUGUUGUCGGCUCAUUCACUGCCACAAAGCACUUUUAGCAACUUUAAGAGUCUAAAUACAUCUUUAAGCACUUUUUGAAACAGUUAGUUAACACAAACUAGCCAUCCAUCAGUAAUGGUGAUAGGCUCACUCAUACUUCACAGGAAGUGACCUCAUCUUGGCGCUCUACCGUUUGUGGCAUCCUGCAGAAGUCUUGGACCAACAUGUUUGUUUUGAUAUAAAAGGAGUCUAAGAAUUUCUGUGUGAUCUCAGUCUGAACAGGUGAAACUAGUUAUUCCUGACAGGUUUGCACCUUUACCUGAGUGUGUAACAAAACACUCUCUUCAGUCAGCAUCACCUUUAGUCCCCACUGCUAGGAGCACCUGGACAGCUGGACACAGGUAGAGUUGGCCCAUGUUGUCUCCUUCCUGUCAUUAAAGGUCUCUCAGAGACAACAAUUUACACCUUUUAUGACAAUAAAGCUUCAGUUAAACAGUCACACUGCAUCUGUUAGUGCCAGAGCUCUGCCCAGACAAUAACAGUCCUUCCAAGGAACUCUUUGCCCCUCCCACUUUGCUGAUGUAAUGUGAUGACUCAGGAGUGUUCCUCAUCUUAAAGUGGAGCGCAAAAGUAUAAAAGAGGUCAUAGCGUGCAGGGUCACUCAUUCGAUCACUUCACACCGUGACAGCAAGGAGACGACAACAUGGACGGUCUGCAGGUGAGCAUUGCAUGUCUGCUGGUGAAGAUGACCUUUGUACAAGGGGUUGCAGGGAGCUGUCCCACCUGUGCACCAGGUUUCUUCCUAGUGAAGAACUGCUCCAAGACUGUAGGGAUCGGGUGCAAAGACUGUACUGAUUGCUCGGCUUUACAUCGGGACACUCUAUCUGAGUGCACGCAGUGGACUGAUGCUGUGUGCGGGAACCAAACUGUGACCACGGUGACAGUCACCACGGUGACCACUGCUGGACCUCCUGUCUUCCCUGGUGAAAUGUGGAUCAUCCUAAGUGUGAUAUCAGUGUCUGUGUUCCUGGUUCUGGUGCUCGCUCUGGUUCUCUCAAUGCUAUCCCAGCGGUACAAGCAAAAGAAAGCUUUGUACCUGCCCUGAAUGAAAGCAAGUCAUUCUGAAUGCCUCUCAGCACCAACGUCUUAGGGACAAGCCACUGUCCAUGAUGGCCAAAGCAGCAGAUCCAGCUCUCAGAAACCAGAAACGUGGAGUCCAGGUCCAGGGCAGGUUUAGAGUCCAGGUCCUGGGUGGAUUAAAGACCAGGUCCAGGCCGGGCUCAUGAGUCCAGGUCCAGGUCGAGCUCAUCAUUCCAGGUCCUGAGUGGAUCAGAGUCCAGGUCCUGGGUGGGAUUAAAGUCCAGGUCCUGUCCGGGGUCAGAGUCCACCUGUAGACUGGUUUGAUCCACCCAUUAUACUUCACAUCGAGGCCACCCUAUAAGAAUACAAAUGUAGACCAGGUGUAGACUAGGUGUAGUUCAGGUGUGAAGUAAGGUUAGAUUCCAGGUGUAAGACAGGUGUAGACUAGUUGUAGCCAGAUGUGGCGUAACUGUAGACUAGACGUAGUCCAAGUCCUAGGAAGAAUUUAAUUUCAGGUGAAGUCUGGGUCCACUUCAUUAACACGUAGCCCAGGUGUAGCUCAGAUGUAGCUCACACAUAGACCAGGUGUAGCUCAGGUGUAGAGAAAGUGCAGCUCGGAUGUAGCUCACACAUAGACCAGGUGUAGCUCAGGUGUAGAGAAAGUGUAGCUCGGGUGUAGCUCACACAUAGACCAGGUGUAGCUCAGGUGUAGAGAAAGUGUAGCUCGGGUGUAGCUCACACAUAGACCAGGUGUAGCUCAGGUGUAGAGAAAGUGCAGCUCGGGUGUAGCUCACACAUAGACCAGGUGUAGCUCAGGUGUAGAGAAAGUGCAGCUCGGGUGUAGCUCACACAUAGACCAGGUGUAGCUUGGGUCUAUAAAAUAAGUCUGUAAUUUGUCACAGCUCACCCAGAACCCCCCCACCCCCACCCCAGCAUCCUCCCGAUCAGCUGUUUCAUUUCCUAUAUGUCCCAUAAUGCAACUUUACCUCUGCAGAGGCGUCAAACUGAGAGUAACGUGUGUAAAAUCAGUGGAAUGACCUUUAACCCUUUCACUGUGAGUGUGAGAUGUCUGGAUGAGCUAUUUCAGUCAGUAGUGAUGCUUAUUUAUUGAUUCUGGAUCAAUAAAUCUGAUCACCUCUGUAAACUGAACGUGUUGUAAACCUAAAUCUCUUUUAAAUGUUGAAGUCAUUAUGUACUUGUGUGCUCCUGUUUAUUCAGAAAUCUGUGACAGUUUUAUACUUUAAACUUUCUUUGGUACUUCAGGUGUGUAUUAGAUAAUCUGCUGUAUGAACAGAGUGUGUGUUUGUAUCACAUAAUAAACUCUAAACUAAAAACAUAAUGACUCUCGCCAUGGAUUCAUCUGUUUUAUUGUAAGCUAGGAGGUUGUAAUGUCAGGCUCACAGAAGAAGAUUUACUGUUUCCAGGAUUAAUUUACUCCCACAGAUGUAAUAUUAUCUACAGCUACUCUUAGUACCAUUGAUGUUAAGUUAGACUCUUUUUCUCCAAUUGAUCUUUCUGAGUUAACUUCAAUAAUUACUUCCUCCAAACCAUCAACCUGUCUUUUAG